rnacentral:rRNA from 1 species
AUUGAACGCUGGCGGAAUGCUUUACACAUGCAAGUCGAACGGCAGCACGGGGCAACCUGGUGGCGAGUGGCGAACGGGUGAGUAAUACAUCGGAACGUGCCCAAUCGUGGGGGAUAACGUAGCGAAAGUUACGCUAAUACCGCAUACGAUCUACGGAUGAAAGCGGGGGAUCGCAAGACCUCGCGCGAAUGGAGCGGCCGAUGUCAGAUUAGGUAGUUGGUGGGGUAAAGGCUCACCAAGCCAACGAUCUGUAGCUGGUCUGAGAGGACGACCAGCCACACUGGGACUGAGACACGGCCCAGACUCCUACGGGAGGCAGCAGUGGGGAAUUUUGGACAAUGGGCGAAAGCCUGAUCCAGCCAUUCCGCGUGCAGGAUGAAGGCCUUC